UUGACCUCAAAUCAGGUAAGACUACCCGCUGAACUUAAGCAUAUCAAUAAGCGGAGGAAAAGAAACCAACAGGGAUUGCCUUAGUAACGGCGAGUGAAGCGGCAAAAGCUCAAAUUUGAAAUCGAACCCCCGUUCGAGUUGUAAUUUGUAGAAGUAACUUUUGUGUUUAGACCUGGCGGAAGUUCCUUGGAACAGGACGCCGUAGAGGGUGAGAGCCCCGUUCUACCAGAGUCGAUGCCUUGUAAAGUGCUUUCAAAGAGUCGAGUUGUUUGGGAAUGCAGCUCUAAGUGGGUGGUAAAUUCCAUCUAAAGCUAAAUAUUGGCGAGAGACCGAUAGCGAACAAGUACAGUGAUGGAAAGAUGAAAAGAACUUUGAAAAGAGAGUGAAAAAGUACGU
rnacentral:rRNA from 1 species